UCUCCAUCGAAUCGAUUCAGCAGUGCAACACAGACUACAGCCGCUGAAGUUGGGGAAAAAAAGAUUUAAAUCAAUAAAAGCGAGAUACUCCAGUUUUUCUUCAUGAGAAAAGGAGCAGAGAGCUCCAUCAAGUCGGCCUUGCCCUAUAGAGACACAACACAGGAUUUAAGUCGUGUGUGCACAUGGUGUUUCCGAUCACUGUCGGGAUGUUUUGAAGCUCAGAUGAGCACUGCAGGAGCUCAUGGGCCACUCCCUCGUCCAGCUCAGUACUCCGGGUGAUGACUUUACCCAGAACCACCUGCUCAAACUGUGGUCGAAAGGAGUAGUCCACUGCUUUUUCUGUGACCACCACUGUCCCUGGAGCAAGACCUAGAGAAGACACCGGACACAACUUUAAAAUAUGGCCUUAUCAUGACAUCUAGAGUAAAGGACGAUGUAAGGGAAUGAACCAUUUACAAAAAAUCAUGCGAAGCUCUUACCAACACCACCAGAAGUUCCAAGGCGAAACAGGACCACAUCAUGGCACUGAGCAUGGUGCAGCAGUUUGAUGAGCUCAUGCAGCAUGAUGGAGAUGGAAGGGACACCCAUACCAUGCUGUGAUGGAAACAAGUGGGGUUAAAAUCAGUAAACCAGUAAUGCUUUAUCUGAAGUUCUUCCCCAUAGUAGUGUAUUUAUGUUCUGUAGAUCCUGGUUCUGUAAUACUCACACUUAUAGAGAGCACUGGUCCCACUUUAUACAUGCAGUAGCGGUCAGUUCCCUCACAGAUGUCACUAAUCUCCUCUGGGUUUCCAGACAGUUUCAGCUCCUGAUGGAUGAACUGGGCAAAGGCCUUCAUCCGAUUCGCACUGCCACCAACACACACAAACUACGGGGAAACAGACAAAAGGAACAUUGAAUGUGGAUUUCAAGACUUUGAAAAUAUAACCCAGGUUUUCUUUUCUUUUACUUCACACACCUUGAUAUCUCCAAACAUUUCUGGAAGGUUGUGAGUUUUGGUGCCUAGGUUGAAGUGGUAGAGAAUAUCCUCCUCCAUUGUAUCCAAGUAGGGAUUUUUCACCUGGACAAGUUGCCUGAGAGCAAUACAAGAUAUAAAAUGAACAAAUGGAAAACUCAAGAUAACUGUAAGUCAAGCUCUGGAUCACCUGAACACAAUUACAUUGGAUAUUUUAAGAAAAAAAUCAGUGCAAAUAUCCCAAAGACUUACUUGAUAUAGUCAUUGUGGUCAUUUCCCAUACAGUUGAGUAAAAUCGGUGCCAUGACUGCAGAUGAAGCUUUGCAAAAAAUCUAAUUUCAAACGUUUUCUAAAGUUUUCUGCUGUGAUGCGUCCAAAUACCUGUGAUAGCUGUUACCGAAUAAGAAUUGAGUCUGACUGCAGAGCUGAUAUAGUGGUGACCUCUGGCCUGACCACUGAUUGGUUCCAUAGAGAGGAGUUGCACUUGUCCUCCUCUCAAAAACAUCCCACUGCCUCAAAACAAACAGAGGAAUUUAAGUUACACAAUAACAAUAAAUGGUCAACUUUCAACGUGUCAAUGUACCUUCGAAAUGAAAACUGUUUCAGAGGCAAUGAAAACAACAUAUGUGAUGGACCCCCCCCCCCAACUAAAUCUGCAAAACAUUUGCCAGGAUCUUAAUAAUGUCUAAUCUGAAGCCAAUGAGUAAAGGACGUGUUAUGACAUAAAGCAAGGCGCGGUUCGAUAACCUCUGCCAUUGGGACACAAUACAUUGGCAUGUCAAAACAAUGACAAACAGAGGCAGAUUAAUGUAGAACCAACAUAAACUCAACAUUGUUUUAUUUAUUAUUUAUUGAGCAUUGUAUCAUUUGCUUAAAGAGCAUUUACAUAAAUGUAUUUAUUUAUAAAGUUAUUUGCUUUAAUGUUACAGUUUUAAGCAGAAAACGAUUCAAAUUCAUCACAGUCUGAGGGAAACAAAAGCAGCUUUUAAUACAAAAAAAUAUUAAAGAUUGCAUAAUAUUAUAACAUUUUUUUUCUAUUGAAACAGUUAAAAUUACAUAACUUAAAGCUGUUUUUAAAGAGUUACAUACACUGCAAAAAAAGUAACAUAAGAUGCCUUCGUUACUUGUAAAUAAAUAAAAUGUUUCAGCUUUAAUUCAAUAAAGAACUUUCACACUUAAGUCAAACCGCUGACAUAAUAGAACAAUAAGAACUCGAUGUGGCUCAGCAUGGAGUACAAAAAAAACUCUGUGUUGUUAAGAGAAUAGGUUGGAAGGAGGCUGCAACUGUUUGAGCAUGAACAUCCUUUUCCCACGCACUGGCAGUCAUCUAAUCUGUUGACACGGAAAUGUAUACAAGCAUGAGUCAUUAUCACGUCACUGACUAAUAAAUUCUACAUGAUACUGCCAAGAGUUAUCAUAAAUUGUCAAUGGCUGCAAUUUGAAAGCUUAACACCUCAAAAUGUGUGCUCAUCAUUUUCUCUAUCCACUUAUUGAGUCACAUAAAAUCAAUAAAACAGCUCGGCUCUACUUCCUUUUUACAUUGUUGAGGUGAAUUAUGACUGUCUGGUGAACAAGCAAGACUGGAAAAAGAAUAAUGUUGACCUGUAAGAGUGUGAUUUAGAUAAUGUUCAACUCACUUGAAAAAUCAGUGGUGGCUUUUGCUGGUUUGUCUUCUAAAUAACCAAAGCUCAGCAGCUUAGACAUAUUGACAGGAGAUGGUUUCUUGUCGAAAACCCUUGAGAGGGGGGAGACAAAAGGCAUAAAGACAAAAUAGAAAUACAAUUUGCAAAUGAUGCUGUUGUCGUUACAAAUAUUAUGUCAUGAUUAUAGUCAUGGCCACAAAGUGCGUCUUGCAUCAUCUAGGGACGCUAUGGCGACUUUGCGACUUGCAACAUUGUAGACGAACUCUGGCUACUCAUUACAGAAGUACAACAAACUGCACAGAGUCAACAAAUGUUUUUUACAACACCAGCCAGUCAGGACACUUGUCAUCUCAUUUUAAGUUCAAUGCUUUCAAAAACAAUUCCUCUAAAAGUCUAUCUCAGAAUUAGACAUGUCAUCUUGUUUGAAAAAAGCCAAACAUUGUGUUUGAUUAAUGUUUGUGUGUUCUAAAAUGUUCUUGUUUCAGGAAAUACAAAGCUUCUGUACUUUAUUUAAUCAUAUUUAAUAUCUCGCACCAAGAGUCAGAAUAAAUGAUUCAAUCAUC